GAUUAACGCUGGCGGCGUGCCUAACACAUGCAAGUCGAGCGGCAGCGAGUUUUACACUGAAUUCUGGAAGCUUCUAGUUGACAGAGAAGAUUUAUUCAAGAAUUUUGUGUAAAAUGUCGGCGAGCGGCGGACGGCUGAGUAACGCGUGGGAACGUACCCCAAAGUGAGGGAUAACGCAUCGAAAGGUGUGCUAAUACCGCAUAUGGUCUUCGGAUUAAAGCCUUCGGGCGCUUUGGGAACGGCCUGCGUAAGAUUAGAUAGUUGGUGGGGUAAUGGCCUACCAAGUCGACGAUCUUUAACUGGUUUGAGAGGAUGAUCAGUCAGACUGGAACUGAGACACGGUCCAGACUCCUACGGGAGGCAGCAGUGAGGAAUCUUCCACAAUGGGCGAAAGCCUGAUGGAGCAACGCCGCGUGCAGGAUGAAGGCCUUCGGGUUGUAAACUGCUUUUAUAAGUGAGGAUUAUGACAGUAACUUAUGAAUAAGGAUCGGCUAACUACGUG
rnacentral:rRNA from 1 species